AGGAUGAUGUCAAGUCAGCAUGACCUUUAUAUCCAGGGCUACCACACACGCUACAAUGGUCUGUACAAUGGGUAGCCAAGCCGCGAGGCGGAGCCAAUCCUGAAAGCAGGCCUACAGUUCAGAUUGCAGUCUGCAACUCGACUGCAUGAAGCCGGAGUUGCUAGUAACCGCAGGUCAGCAAUACUGCGGUGAAUACGUUCCCGGGUCUU
rnacentral:rRNA from 1 species